GACGAACGCUGGCGGCGUGCCUAAUACAUGCAAGUAGGACGCAGUUGCGAACGGGUGAGUAACGCGUAGGUAACUACCUAUUAGAGGGGGAUAACUAUUGGAAACGAUAGCUAAUACCGCAUACUAGUAGAUGGACCUGCGUUGUAUUAGCUAGUAGGGAGGGUAAUGGCCUACCUAGGCAACGAUACAUAGCCGACCUGGGAGGGGGAACGGGCACACUGGGAAUUGGACAAUGGCCCAACCUCCUAGGGAGGCAGCAGUAGGGAAUCUUCGGCAAUGGGGGGAACCCUGGACGAGCAAAGCCGGGGGAGGGAAGAAGGUUUUCGGGUCGGAAAGCUCUGUUGUUAAGGAAGCGGUACUUAACCAGAAAGGGACGGCUAACUACGUGCCAGCAGCCGCGGUAAUAC
rnacentral:rRNA from 1 species